CCCUUAGAUGUUCUGGGCUGCACGCGCGCUACACUGAAGCGUUCAACGAGUAUUCACCUUGCCCGGGAGGGUUGGGUAAUCUUUUGAAAACGCUUCGUGAUGGGGAUAGAUUAUUGCAAUUAUUAAUCUUCAACGAGGAAUUCCUAGUAAGCGCAAGUCAUCAGCUUGCAUUGAUUACGUCCCUGCCCUUUGUACACACCGCCCGUCGCUCCUACCGAUUGAAUGAUCCGAUGAAUAUCAUGGAUUGAGGAUGCAAGUAGGUUCGCCUAUCUUCAUCUUCGAGAAGUGAAGUAAAUCUUAUCAUUUAGAGGAAGGAGAAGUCGUAACA
rnacentral:rRNA from 1 species